UGGGGGCGGUGCCGGGGGAGGCUCCCGUCCCAGUGCCGGCCCCGCCGGUAACUCCGCCUGCCGUAUUUAUGGGAAAACAAGCAGCGGCAGAGCGUUGGGCCGUGUCGAGCCGUGCCGUGCCGUGCCGUGCAUCGCUGUGCCGUGCCGUGCUGGAUCGGGCGGAGCUGGGCCAUGGUCCCCUGGGCGGUGGCAUCCCCAGCCUAGCGCGGCGGCGGCGGCGGCGGCGGCUGGGGGAUGCGGCGAGAGCCGCCAGAGCGGCUGGCGCAGAGCAGGGUGGGCUACUGGGUCCUCUGAGGCUGUGUGACAGGGAACUGGCG
rnacentral:lncRNA from 1 species